GCCGUCCGAGGUGGUAAAUUUCGCAGCAACCACACGCCCUCAGAGUAAAAAAGAGACGCAGGAGGAUGCUACGCCUGCCGGGCGGC
rnacentral:ncRNA from 1 species